rnacentral:rRNA from 1 species
AUUGAACGCUGGCGGCAGGCCUAACACAUGCAAGUCGAGUGAGCGGCGGACGGGUGAGAAAUGUAUGGGGACUGCCCGAUAGCGGGGGAUAACUACUGGAAACGGUAGCUAAUACCGCAUACUAUCGGCUAAUCCAAAUGGGAUUAGCUAGUUGGUGAGGUAAUGGCUCACCACGGCGACGACCCCUCGCUGGUGUGAGAGGAUGAUCCGCCACACUGGGACUGAGACACGGCCCAGACUCCUACGGAGGCAUCAGUGGGGAAUAUUGCACAAUGGGCGCAAGCCUGAUGCAGCCAUGCCGCGUGUAUGAAGAAGGCCCUAGGGUUGUAAAGUACUUUCAGUCGGGAGGCGUUACCGACAGAAGAAGCACCGGCUAACUCCGUGCCAGCAGCCGCGGUAAUAC